rnacentral:rRNA from 1 species
UUUUUAUGAGAGUUUGAUCCUGGCUCAGGAUGAACGCUGGCGGCGUGCUUAACACAUGCAAGUCGAACGAAGCAUUUAGAACAGAUUAUUUCGGUAUGAAGUUCUUUAUGACUGAGUGGCGGACGGGUGAGUAACGCGUGGGUAACCUGCCUUGUACUGGGGGAUAGCAGCUGGAAACGGCUGGUAAUACCGCAUAAGCGCACGGUGCUGCAUGGCACAGUGUGAAAAACUCCGGUGGUAUAAGAUGGACCCGCGUCUGAUUAGCUAGUUG